CGCUUGCCCCUGUUCCUAACUGCAUCGCCAAUUAGUUGUAAAAUUGAAUGUUGAAACGAUUAAUUGGAAAUUAAAUGUCAUUGAAUUACAUCAUUUCAAUUAUAGUUAGCGUUAAUAAGUUGUUGCAUUCAGGCGUUGAAAUUUAGUCCGACGGAAGACUAGAAACCAGUACCCGACUCAUGUACUAGUGAUCUCGAGAUUUUCAAUGGCCUAUCAAACUCUUCUUGUUGUAGACGGAAACAACUAGAAGUUAAUCAAUCAAUAUCAGGAGAGGAUGAAGAUGUUACUCCAACCUAUGAAGAGCCUCCUACUCAGCAACGGACUCGCAACCGGCCCAAACAUGAAGCUGAGAUUACAGGAAGAUUUCCCAACACUACUUCAUUGUGUGUCCAGUAUAUACACAUCUGGCAAGAACGAUAGUAUUAUGACUGAACGUGACACUAAUGAAAGGUGAGUGCUUUGUGUCAGUUCGCUAAGUUUGAUUUCACAAUAUAUACAAGCAAACAUAUGAAAAAACUUGUAACUGGGAAUUCGAGCAACAUACAAUAUGACUUGUAAGAAAUAUGAAGAUAGUUAUAGCAUCCAAAGUGUAGUGAAUAUGGGUCAUAGGUGCCCACAAAUGAAGGUGAAAACAUCUUGAGGUCAGUAAGAAGAAAGAAAAGAGUUGUAGUGGUCACAAACAAGCCACAAAAAAGCAUUGGGGUGGCCUCUUUAUAUCAAGACAGAUAUUUUCCUGGUUU